rnacentral:tRNA from 1 species
AGUUAGAUAGUUUAAUAUAAAACAUUUAUUUUGAAAAUAAAAGAUUAAUCUAACUU